CGCACAUCCUGCAUCAACUCGUGACCACCAGAGCUUCUUGGACACGAUGCUGCCCUUGUACCCCUGCCGGUUCCUGUUUGGGUUUCCUGCCUACCCCUUCAGCUGAGUUUCUUCCCAUUACCAUCUGCUACAAAGCAUUACUGGGUAACAGAUACACCUAAUGAAGAUCAGAAAUAUUCAAGCAGAAACCUUCAGCUUCCAUGAAGAUUGAAAUCAUUCUGCCAUGAAGACCUAACAACCUUCAAAGACAAAUUGAAAAUGGGAAGAAGUGCUGCGGAGCGCUGCGUCACCCUGCGGAGCGCUGCGUCACCCUGCGGAGCGCUGCGUCACCCUGCGGAGCCUCAACUCAACUCAACUCAACUCAACUCAACUCAACUCAACUCAACUCAACUCAACUCAACUCAACUCAACUCAACUCAACUCAACUCAACUCAACUCA
ensembl:lncRNA